AUUGAACGCUGGCGGCAUGCCUAACACAUGCAAGUCGAGCGGCACGUCGGACGGGUGAGUAAUGCCUAGGAAUCUGCCUGGUAGUGGGGGAUAACGUCCGGAAACGGGCGCUAAUACCGCAUACUAUCAGAUGAGCCUAGGUCGGAUUAGCUAGUUGGUGGGGUAAAGGCCUACCAAGGCGACGAUGCGUAACUGGUCUGAGAGGAUGAUCAGUCACACUGGAACUGAGACACGGUCCAGACUCCUACGGGAGGCAGCAGUGGGGAAUAUUGGGCAAUGGGCGAAAGCCUGAGCCAGCCAUGCCGCGUGAGUGAAGAAGGUCUUCGGAUUGUAAAGCGCUUUAAGUUGGGAGGCGUUACCAAAAGAAUAAGCACCGGCUAACUUCGUGCCAGCAGCCGCGGUAAUUC
rnacentral:rRNA from 1 species